GAGGGUAUAGCUCAGUGGUAGAGUGCAUGCUUGGCAUAAAAAAAGGUCCUGGGUUCAAUCCCCAGUACCUCUA
rnacentral:tRNA from 1 species